CUCUGCAUCAUCGUCGCCCCACUUCUGACCUGCCAUUUGGAUGCCUGGCACGAAACGACACCCGGAAAUAAAGCCCCGUGUCGGAUCUCCGCGGUCUUUUUGCGGAGCCCGGUAAUCACAAAAAGUGACUUGAAAUUUCCCAUUAGGCAUCCAAGGAGGAAUUAAAAAAAAAAAAAGAUUACUCCGCCGUCCUGGUGUUGAGCCGAGGAGAAGCAGAGAGGGAUCAUCGGUGUUCUAGCGCCACCUAGCGGCCCGAGGUGACGCAGGGGACCAGUGCCUCUGGCAAUAGGUGAUGAAGUGGGACAUACUGGUGUCAAAACGCGGAUUAGUGCAGACUCAGCACAUUGAGUCCUGCCAUGACCACAAGACAAAGGAGAGACAAAAGGUUCGUGUCCAAUCGAACAGCAUUAAUACAAGGUCAAAGUCACAUGGUGUCAUUUAACAUUGUGUCAAACAACAUAGUGUUUUAAUACAACUUUUGGGUAAUUUCAAUUGGUGAUACAUUUAUUUAAAAAGUCUAAUGUUUCUGUGGCUAACUUUAUUUACCCCCAGAGAUCCAAAUCUAAUGCGUUUGAACAAUGUUUGCCUGUUAAACAUCAUGUCCAUCGUUGUAUUACGUGAAGAUGAAUCAGUCUUCGGUAUCACACUCACACACACACACACACACACGCACAC
ensembl:lncRNA